UGAUCUCUGCUGGAUCUCUGUUGAUUGUCGCUGCUGUCGGGAUUCUCUGCAUCUACAAGAAAUGUAGAAAGACUGACAAAGACGAUGAGAGUUCUGCAGAAGAGAUCACUUACACCGUGCCGACAUUCACCAAAACAAACACACACGAAUCGUUUUUACAGGAAGUUAAAGAGGACAAUCAUGUGGAAUAUACACCGAUCAUGAUUUGAUGAAGACUAAACGUCAAUGUUUUACUUCGUACGCCAGUUUGCAUCAGGAAAUCAUACAGCAGGAUCAUCCUAAAAGGGUUUUAAAGAAUGAUAAUUAAUAACGGAUUAAUGAAAUGGUCUCCUAAAACUUCAAAAGACUUUAGAGUGUAAUAGAAGGACGUUUAUGUAACUCUUCUAGCCAAAUGGAGCAUUUUCAUUUGGUACUCUUAAAGUUAAAAGUGCAAACCGUAGAUGCAAACUACUCAUCAAAAGGAGCGGAGCCCUUGCUGUGGUAUUGAUUAUUUACAUCUGUACAGAAAUGUGGUUUGGUCUGCUGGUGCACAACAGCUUGUGCAUGAGAAUGAGUCUGCUGCUGGACGUCUGUGUUUGAUGUCUGUUUGUGAGUGUGUGUGAGGUGUGAAAAGUGUGUCUGUCAGUAGCGUGUGGUUGAAGGGCUUUUUCCAUUCCCGCUCACAUAAAACCGUCGACUUCUGCUCUACAGACAAACCACUUUACUAUGUAAUACUGAACUUAUCAAUGCUGAUGUUUGACAAAAAUGUCUCAAAUCAAGCAGGUAUUGGUAUAUACUUAUGCACAUGCAUCAUGAUUUUUUUUCAUACUCAUGCAGUGAUCCUGCAGUUAAGCAGUGCUAUAGUUUCAGUUAUUUCCAGCUCAAGAUGUCUUUCUAAGCAGAACUAUUCUUGAUAGCUUUUUUUCCCCCAUAAAGGUCAUAUCCUGUUUUGUUUUUCUUCUGCAAAUGUCUGGGUCAUUUUAAGAAUAAAUGCAAUUUAUGUUUGAUGUAUUUAGUUUUCAUAAACUCUGAGUAGAUUUAACAGGGCUCCUGUCCAUAGUUAAAACAAAUUAGGUCAAAAUCUGAAAUAAACUGGUUUUGGAUGAUGAAGUAUGACACAGGUGGUUGUGGCCACAUAUCAAAGGAGAACUCACUCAAGGUGAAAGACAAAAAAUCUAAAGAGACACUACAUGUACACACUACACUAAAUAUUAUUGUGACAGUUCGUGUUUUGUUUGUUACAGAUUGUUUUUGCUAUGGAGUUUAAAAUGUGAGAUAAAGUGGGCGACCUUUAA